UACGGGGGGGGGCAAGCGUUUGUUCGGAAUUACUGGGCGUAAAGGGCUCGUAGGCGCCAACUAAGUCAGACGUGAAAUCCCCAGGCUCAACCUGGGAACUGCGUCUGAUACUGGUUGGCUUGAAUCCGGGAGAGGGAUGCGGAAUUCCAGGUGUAGCGGUGAAAAUGCGCAGAUAUCAGGAGGAACACCAAUGGCGAAGGCAGCUCGCUGGGACAUACUGACGCUGAGGCGCGAAAGCGUGGGGGAGCAAACAGG
rnacentral:rRNA from 1 species